rnacentral:rRNA from 1 species
UACGAAGGGGGCUAGCGUUGUUCGGAAUUACUGGGCGUAAGGGGCGCGUAGGCGGCGUGUCAAGUCAGGCGUGAAAGCCCCGGGCUCAACCUGGGAACCGCGCUUGAGACUGGCAUGCUCGAGUUCGGGAGAGGAUGGUGGAAUUCCCAGUGUAGAGGUGAAAUUCGUAGAUAUUGGGAAGAACACCGAUGGCGAAGGCAGCCAUCUGGACCGACACUGACGCUGAGGCGCGAAAGCGUGGGGAGCAAACAGG